CGUGCCUAAUACAUGCAAGUCGAACGAGAGGAAGGAAAGCUUGCUUUUCUAAAUCUAGUGGCGAACGGGUGAGUAACACGUAGGUAACCUGCCCAUGUGCCCGGGAUAACUUCUGGAAACGGAUGCUAAAACCGGAUAGGUAGCAGACAAGCAUUUGACUGCUAUUAAAGUGGCUAAGGCCAUGAACAUGGAUGGACCUGCGGUGCAUUAGCUAGUUGGUGAGGUAACGGCCCACCAAGGCGACGAUCCAUAGCCGGCCUGAGAGGGCGGACGGCCACAUUGGGACUGAGACACGGCCCAAACUCCUACGGGAGGCAGCAGUAGGGAAUUUUCGUCAAUGGGGGGAACCCUGAACGAGCAAUGCCGCGUGAGUGAGGAAGGUCUUCGGAUCGUAAAGCUCUGUUGUAAGAGAAAAACGGCACUCAUAGGGAAUGAUGAGUGAGUGAUGGUAUCUUACCAGAAAGUCACGGCUAACUACGUGCCAGCAGCCGCGGUAAUACGUAGGUGGCGAGCGUUAUCCGGAAUGAUUGGGCGUAAAGGGUGCGUAGGUGGCAGAUCAAGUCUGGAGUAAAAGGUAUGGGCUCAACCCGUACUGCUCUGGAAACUGAUCAGCUAGAGAACAGAAGAGGACGGCGGAACUCCAUGUGUAGCGGUAAAAUGCGUAGAUAUAUGGAAGAACACCGGUGGCGAAGGCGGCCGUCUGGUCUGGAUUCUGACACUGAAGCACGAAAGCGUGGGGAGCAAAUAGGAUUAGAUACCCUAGUAGUCCACGCCGUAAACGAUGAGAACUAGGUGUUGGGGGAAUAACUCAGUGCCGCAGUUAACGCAAUAAGUUCUCCGCCUGGGGAGUAUGCACGCAAGU
rnacentral:rRNA from 1 species